rnacentral:rRNA from 1 species
AGUGAACGCUGGCGGUAGGCCUAACACAUGCAGGUCGAACGGCAGCACAGUAAGAGCUUGCUCUUACGGGUGGCGAGUGGCGGACGGGUGAGGAAUACAUCGGAAUCUACUUUUUCGUGGGGGAUAACGUAGGGAAACUUCCGCUAUACCCCCUUCGACCUUCCGGUGAAAAGCAGGGGUCUUUCGGCCUUGGCCGGAUUAAUUGGCCGAUGUCGGAUUAGCUAGUUGGCGGGGUAAAGGCCCACCAAGGCGACGAUCCGUAGCUGGUCUGAGAGGAUGAUCAGCCACACUGGAACUGAGACACGGUCCAGACUCCUACGGGAGGCAGCAGUGGGGAAUAUUGGACAAUGGGCGCAAGCCUGAUCCAGCCAUACCGCGUGGGUGAAGAAGGCCUUCGGGUUGUAAAGCCCUUUUGUUGGGAAAGAAAAGCAGCAGGUUAAUACCCCGCUGUUCUGACGGUACCCAAAGAAUAAGCACCGGCUAACUUCGUG